rnacentral:misc_RNA from 1 species
UCUCCGUAGGUGAACCUGCGGAGGGAUCAUUACAGAGUUCAUGCCCUACCGGGUAGAUCUCCCACCCUAUGUUAUUAUUACUUUGUUGCUUUGGCGGGCCGUUAGGCUCCGGCCCGACUACCGGCCCCGGCUGGUAAGCGCCCGCCAGAGGACCCUAAACCCUGAAUAUUAGUGUCGUCUGAGUACUAUAUAAUAGUUAAAACUUUCAACAACGGAUCUCUUGGUUCUG